AUUAAAAAUGAAAAGAUGAUUUACAAAUAAGUUAUCCCAGAGUCAAUGCAUCCAAAGGCAAAAAAGAUAAAAACAAGGAAGCAUUAAGAGUUGCAAGUGAAAGGUGAGAUCUCCAAUUAGGUGAGCCACAAGGAGAGGAGGCCUCUGAAGAGCCUCAUUUUCCUUCUUCCUAGGAUAAUGUUCCUGAUGUCACGUAUUGAUCGGAAAAUAGAGGCUGCCGUCAUGAAGACAUUGUUGUGCAGGAGGUUGUUUCUUUGUUAUCUCAUACAUAGUAUGCAUUCAUCUAAUACUAGUAGUGCCACACAUCAUCUUCUAGUUUACAAAACCUAUUGCUGACUCAUUUGUCUUAUGUAUGUUCUUGCCAGAGAUUGAUGUUUUUCUAACUACUCCAUCUGAAUUUUGGUGCCGGAGGACUUUGACUACAUGUUAUCCAGACUUGACAGUUUGAUUUGUUGCCGUGGCGCUAUUUUCCACAUG
rnacentral:lncRNA from 1 species